UACGUAGGGGGCUAGCGUUGUCCGGAAUCAUUGGGCGUAAAGAGCGCGUAGGCGGUCAGAUAAGUCCGGUGUGAAAGUCAAAGGCUCAACCUUUGAAUGCCGCUGGAAACUGUCUGGCUAGAGUCCGGGAGGGGCGAGUGGAAUUCCUGGUGUAGCGGUGAAAUGCGCAGAUAUCAGGAGGAACACCAAUGGCGAAGGCAGGUCUCUGGGCCACUACUGACGCUGAGAAGCGAAAGCAUGGGGAGCGAACAGG
rnacentral:rRNA from 1 species